rnacentral:rRNA from 1 species
UUUUUAUGAGAGUUUGAUCCUGGCUCAGGACGAACGCUGGCGGCGUGCCUAAUACAUGCAAGUCGAACGCUUCUUUUUCCACCGGAGCUUGCUCCACCGGAAAAAGAGGAGUGG